CUCGGUUUUAAAAAUGCUCUGGUCAUGGAUUCUGCCGUCUCCUCUCUGCUUCUAAGGGACAUUUUUGAAAGAGAAGUGCAUUGUGCCUGAGACACCAGAGAGGGAGAAGAAAGAGGAGGAGGAAUGGAAGAUGCAUUAACCCUCUGCAGCCAGAGGCCAGCCAGAAGCUGUGGUGCAGCGGCACCCUGACCCGUCCGGCUCCGAUCACCAGGUGGUUCUGGUGGUUCGUUCUGAACGUGUUGGUCGUUUAUGGGCCCCUGAACCAGAGGAAGCUCUCAGUCUGAGUGUCAGUGGGUUGGUUAUAGGCUGUUACCAACGGUAACGACCCACACUAGGCAAAUAAACUCUCCUUAAUGAGAAUCAGGCC